rnacentral:rRNA from 1 species
AGCGAACGCUGGCGGCAGGCCUAACACAUGCAAGUCGAACGAACCUUUCGGGGUUAGUGGCGGACGGGUGAGUAACACGUGGGAACGUGCCUUUAGGUUCGGAAUAACUCAGGGAAACUUGUGCUAAUACCGAAUGUGCCCUUCGGGGGAAAGAUUAAUCGCCUUUAGAGCGGCCCGCGUCUGAUUAGCUAGUUGGUUGAGGUAAUGGCUCACCAAGGCGACGAUCAGUAGCUGGUCUGAGAGGAUGAUCAGCCACAUUGGGACUGAGACACGGCCCAAACUCCUACGGGAGGGCGGAGGGGGGAAUCUUGCGCAAUGGGCGAAAGGCUGACGGAGCCAUGGCGGGUGAAUGAUGAAGGUCUUAGGAUUGUAAAAUUCUUUUACCGGGGACGAUAAUGACGGUACCCGGAGAAGAAGCCCCGGCUAACUUCGUG